rnacentral:rRNA from 1 species
GACGAACGCUGGCGGCGUGCUUAACACAUGCAAGUCGAACGGAAAUGCCCUGCUUUUGUGGGGUGCUCGAGUGGCGAACGGGUGAGUAACACGUGAGUAACCUGCCCUUGACUUUGGGAUAACUUCAGGAAACUGGGGCUAAUACCGGAUAGGAGCUCCUGCUGCAUGGUGGGGGUUGGAAAGUUUCGGCGGUUGGGGAUGGACUCGCGGCUUAUCAGCUUGUUGGUGGGGUAGUGGCUUACCAAGGCUUUGACGGGUAGCCGGCCUGAGAGGGUGACCGGCCACAUUGGGACUGAGAUACGGCCCGGACUCCUACGGGAGGCAGCAGUGGGGAAUAUUGCACAAUGGGCGGAAGCCUGAUGCAGCAACGCCGCGUGCGGGAUGACGGCCUUCGGGUUGUAAACCGCUUUCGCCUGUGACGAAGCGUGAGUGACGGUAAUGGGUAAAGAAGCACCGGCUAACUACGUG